GAUGAACGCUGGCGGCGUGCCUAAUACAUGCAAGUCGAGCGAACGGACGAGAAGCUUGCUUCUCUGAUGUUAGCGGCGGACGGGUGAGUAACACGUGGAUAACCUACCUAUAAGACUGGGAUAACUUCGGGAAACCGGAGCUAAUACCGGAUAAUAUUUUGAACCGCAUGGUUCAAAAGUGAAAGACGGUCUUGCUGUCACUUAUAGAUGGAUCCGCGCUGCAUUAGCUAGUUGGUAAGGUAACGGCUUACCAAGGCAACGAUGCAUAGCCGACCUGAGAGGGUGAUAGGCGACCCUGGAACUGAGACACGGUCCAGACGCCUACGGGAGGCAGCAGUAGGGAAUCUUACGCAAUGGGCGAAAGCCUGACGGAGCAACGCCGAGUGAGUGAUGAAGGUCUUCGGAGCGUAAAACUGUGUUAUUAGGGAAGAGCAGAUGUGGAAGUAAAUGUGCACAGAUUGACGGUAACUAAUCAGAAAGCCACGGCUAACUACGUG
rnacentral:rRNA from 1 species